rnacentral:rRNA from 1 species
UAGUUGGUGGGGUAAAGGCCUACCAAGGCGACGAUCUGUAGCGGGUCUGAGAGGAUGAUCCGCCACACUGGAACUGAGACACGGUCCAGACUCCUACGGGAGGCAGCAGUGGGGAAUUUUGGACAAUGGGGGCAACCCUGAUCCAGCCAUGCCGCGUGAGUGAAGAAGGCRUUCGGGUUGUAAAGCUCUUUCGUCCGGGAAGAAAUCGCACAGGCUAAUACUCUGUGUGGAUGACGGUACCGGAAUAAGAAGCACCGGCUAACUACGUGCCAGCAGCCGCGGUAAUACGUAGGGUGCGAGCGUUAAUCGGAAUUACUGGGCGUAAAGCGUGCGCAGGCGGUUUUGUAAGACAGGCGUGAAAUCCCCGGGCUCAACCUGGGAACUGCGCUUGUGACUGCAAGGCUAGAGUACGGCAGAGGGGGGUGGAAUUCCACGUGUAGCAGUGAAAUGCGUAGAGAUGUGGAGGAACACCGAUGGCGAAGGCAGCCCCCUGGGCCGAUAUUGACGCUCAUGCACGAAAGCGUGGGUAGCAAACAGGAUUAGAUACCCUGGUAGUCCACGCCCUAAACGAUGUCAACUAGGUGUUGGGUGGGUAAAACCAUUUAGUACCGUAGCUAACGCGUGAAGUUGACCGCCUGGGGAGUACGGCCGCAAGGUUAAAACUCAAAGGAAUUGACGGGGACCCGCACAAGCGGUGGAUGAUGUGGAUUAAUUCGAUGCAACGCGAAAAACCUUACCUACCCUUGACAUGUCCGGAAUCCCUGAGAGAUUGGGGAGUGCCCGAAAGGGAAUCGGAACACAGGUGCUGCAUGGCUGUCGUCAGCUCGUGUCGUGAGAUGUUGGGUUAAGUCCCGCAACGAGCGCAACCCUUGUCGUUAAUUGCCAUCAUUUAGUUGGGCACUUUAGCGAGACUGCCGG